rnacentral:rRNA from 1 species
GGGGGGGGGGGGGGGGGGGGGGGGGGGGGGGGGGGCGGGGGGGGGGGGGGGGCGGGGGUGGGGUGCUGGGGUGGCGCGCGGGUGGGUCACGCGGGAGUCGCCGGCCGUUGACGUUGGGAGGACUGCAGGGAACUGGGGCGACGACCGGAUAGGAGCUCCUGAUGCAGGGUGGGGGAUGGAAAGUUUCGGCGGUUGGGGAUGUCCGCGCGGCUUAUCAGCUUGUUGGUGGGGUAGGGGCUUACCAGGGGUUUUACGGGUAGGCGGCCUGAGAGGGUGCCCGGCCACAUUGGGACUGAGAUACGGCCCAGACUCCUACGGGAGGCAGCAGUGGGGAAUAUUGCACAAGGGGCGGAAGCCUGAUGCAGCAACGCCGCGUGCGGGAUGACGGCCUUCGGGUUGUAACCCGCUUUCGCCUGUGACGAAGCGUGAGUGACGGUAAUGGGUAAAGAAGCACCGGCUAACUACGUG